CCUUUUGGCAAUGCGUGACGGCGUGCCUUUUGCAUAAUGAUCCGGCGAGUUACCGUUGGCGGCUUGGUUAAGUCUUUUCGGGACGUAGCCAUAGGGAAACCGAGUGUUAAUAGCGCGAAAUUGUCGUCAGUGGUAGACGCGAAACCUGGUGAUCUACCCAUGAGCAGGUUGAAGCGCGGGUUAUACUGCGUGGAGGACCGAACCCACUUGGGUUGAAAACCGAGGGGAUGACUUGUGGGGAGGAGUGAAAGUCUAAUCAAACCAGGAGAUAGCUCGUUCUCUCCGAAAUAGCUUUAGGGCUAGCCUCGUGCCACUAUGCAUUGGGGGUAGAGAUACUGAAUCGGAUGGGGGCCCUUCCCAGGGUACCCCACUGAACCAAACUCCGAAUACCAAUGUAACUAUCACGGGAGUCAGUCCACGUGGGAUAAGCUGCGUGGUCAAGAGGGAAACAACCCAGACCGUCGGCUAAGGCCCCUAAAUUGUGCUUAGUCACUAAGGAAGUGAGAUUGCUGAGACAGCCAGGAUGUUGGCUUAGAAGCAGCCACCAUUUAAAAAGUGCGUAACAGCUUACUGGUCGAGCAGUCUUGCGCCGAUAAUGAUCGGGAGUAAGUACGAUGCCGAAGCCGCGGGUUCAGUGAUCCUUCGGGUGAUCUGAGCGGUAGGAGAGCGCUGUACGUCAGAUACAAGCCGUACCGAAAGGAGCGGUGUCGGGGCGUACAGGUGAUUAUGCCGGAAUGAGUAACGAUAAAGCAGGUGAGAAUCCUGCUCGCCGAAAGCCUAAGGUUUCCUGGGGAAGGUAAUUCCGCCCAGGGUUAGCCGGUACCUUAGUCGAGGCCGAAAGGCGUAGACGAUGGAUAGCAGGUUAAUAUUCCUGCGCCACUUAUGUGGACCGAUGGAGGGACGGCGCGCGAAGGGUGAGCGGUACGAAUAGAAAUGUCCGUGGACCGUUGCAAGAUGGAGGGAUUGGCAAAUCCGCCCUCGGAAUUCAAGCGACGGGACCGAGAGCGUUUAAGUUCUUGAAGUCAUCCGCAGUGCGUCCAAGAAAAGCUUCUAAGGGUUGAAGCAUAGGUGACCGUACUAAAACUGACACAGGUAGGUGAGACGAGAAGUCUAAGGCGCUCGGGAGAACGGUGGUUAAGGAACUCUGCAAAAUGGCCCCGUAAGUUCGCGAUAAGGGGUGCCCUUGGCGGUUCACGCUGCUGGGGGCCACAGUAAAUCGGCUCCAACGACUGUUUAUCAAAAACACAGGUCUCUGCUAACACGUAAGUGGAUGUAUAGAGACUGACGCCUGCCCGGUGCCGGUAGGUUAAGGAAGACGGUUAGCUCUUCGGAGCGAAGCUGGCGACCGAAGCCCCGGUAAACGGCGGCCGUAACUAUGACGGUCCUAAGGUAGCGAAGUUCCUUGUCGGGUAAGUUCCGACCUGCAUGAAAGGCGUAACGAUUGGAGCACUGUCUCAACCACCGACCCGGUGAAAUUGUAGUCGUGGUGAAGAUGCCACGUACCCGCGGUUAGACGGAAAGACCCCGUGAACCUUUACUGUAGGCUGAUAUUGGGCUGUGAUAUGUUCUGUGUAGGAUAGGUGGGAGGCUUUGAAGCUGCAGCGCAAGCUGUGGUGGAGCCAACCUUGAAAUACCACCCUGGUCAUAUUUUAGUUCUAACGCUGAUUCCCAUGAAUCUGGGCAGCGGACAUUUUCAGCUGGGCAGUUUGACUGGGGCGGUCUCCUCCCAAAGAGUAACGGAGGAGUACAAAGGUACCCUCAGCCUGGUUGGCAAUCAGGCGUAGAGCGCAAAGGUAGAAGGGUGCUUAACUGCGAGACUCAUCAGUCGAGCAGAUGCGAAAGCAGGUCUUAGUGAUCCGGUAAUUCCGAAUGGAAGGGUUAUCGCUCAUCAGAUAAAAGGUACUCCGGGGAUAACAGGCUUAUCGCCUCCGAGCGUCCAUAGCGGCGAGGCGGUUUGGCACCUCGAUGUCGGCUCAUCACAUCCUGGGGGUGGAGAAGCUCCCAAGGGUUUGGCUGUUCGCCAAUUAAAGUGGUACGUGAGCUGGGUUCAGACCGUCGUGAGACAGGUCGGUCCCUAUCUGGUGUGGCUGUUGGACACUUGAAGAGGUCUUUCCCUAG
rnacentral:rRNA from 1 species